rnacentral:misc_RNA from 1 species
UCUCCGUAGGUGAACCUGCGGAGGGAUCAUUACAGAGUUCAUGCCCUACCGGGUAGAUCUCCCACCCUAUGUUAUUAUUACUUUGUUGCUUUGGCGGGCCGUUAGGCUCCGGCCCGACUACCGGCCCCGGCUGGUAAGCGCCCGCCAGAGGACCCAAAACCCUGAAUAUUAGUGUCGUCUGAGUACUAUAUGAUAGUUAAAACUUUCAACAACGGAUCUCUUGGUUCUG